AGCCUGCGAUCAGUAGCUGAUGUGAGAGCAUGAUCAGCCACACGGGCACUGAGACACGGGCCCGACUCCUACGGGAGGCAGCAGUAAGGAAUAUUGGUCAAUGGACGCAAGUCUGAACCAGCCAUGCCGCGUGGAGGAUGAAGGUCCUCUGGAUUGUAAACUUCUUUUCUCUGGGACGAAACCCCCGAUUUCCAUCGGGCCUGACGGUACCAGAGGAAUAAGCACCGGCUAACUCCGUGCCAGCAGCCGCGGUAAUACGGAGGGUGCAAGCGUUAUCCGGAUUCACUGGGUUUAAAGGGUGCGUAGGCGGGUUUGUAAGUCAGUGGUGAAAUCCCCGAGCUUAACUUGGGAACUGCCAUUGAUACUGCAGAUCUUGAAUUUUCUGGAGGUAAGCGGAAUAUGUCAUGUAGCGGUGAAAUGCUUAGAUAUGACAUAGAACACCCAUUGCGAAGGCAGCUUACUACGGGAAUAUUGACGCUGAGGCACGAAAGCGUGGGGAUCAAACAGGAUUAGAUACCCUGGUAGUCCACGCCCUAAACGAUGAUUACUCGACAUUAGCGAUAUUACAGUUAGUGUCUAAGCGAAAGCAUUAAGUAAUCCACCUGGGAAGUA
rnacentral:rRNA from 2 species